AAAGGCUUCGGCCGGUAAAGGAUGGGGAUGCGUCUGAUUAGCUUGCCGGCGGGGUAACGGCCCACCGGGGCGACGAUCAGUAGGGGUUCUGAGAGGAAGGUCCCCCACAUUGGAACUGAGACACGGUCCAAACUCCUACGGGAGGCAGCAGUGAGGAAUAUUGGUCAAUGGGCGCGAGCCUGAACCAGCCAAGUAGCGUGCAGGACGACGGCCCUAUGGGUUGUAAACUGCUUUUAUACGGGGAUAAAGUAUGCCACGUGUGGUUUAUUGCAGGUACCGUAUGAAUAAGGACCGGCUAAUUCCGUGCCAGCAGCCGCGGUAAUACGGAAGGUCCGGGCGUUAUCCGGAUUUAUUGGGUUUAAAGGGAGCGUAGGCCGGGUUUUAAGCGUGCCGUGAAAUGUCGGGGCUCAACCUUGACACUGCGGCGCGAACUGGAGUCCUUGAGUGCGCGGAACGUAUGCGGAAUUCGUGGUGUAGCGGUGAAAUGCUUAGAUAUCACGAAGAACCCCGAUUGCGAAGGCAGCAUACGGCAGCGCUACUGACGCUGAAGCUCGAAGGCGCGGGUAUCGAACAGGAUUAGAUACCCUGGUAGUCCGCGCGGUAAACGAUGGAUGCCCGCUGUUGGCGAUAUAUUGUCA
rnacentral:rRNA from 1 species